CCUACGGGUGGCAGCAGUGGGGAAUAUUGCACAAUGGAGGGAACUCUGAUGCAGCGACGCCGCGUGAGUGAAGAAGCAAUUCGUUACGUAAAGCUCUAUCAGCAGGGAAGAAAGUGACGGUACCUGAAAAAGAAGCCCCGGCUAAAUACGUGCCAGCAGCCGCGGUAAUACGUAGGGGGCAAGCGUUAUCCGGAUUUACUGGGGGUAAAGGGAGAGUAGGUGGCAGAGCAAGUCAGAAGUGAAAGCCCAAGGCCCAACCAGGGGAAUGCUUUAGAAACUGCUUAGCUAGAGUGCAGGAGAGGCAAGUGGAAUUCUUGGUGUAGCGGUGAAAUGCGUAGAUAUUAGGAGGAACACCAGUGGCGAAGGCGGCUUGCUGGACUGUAACUGACGCUGAGGCCCGAAAGCGUGGGGAGCAAACAGGAUUAGAUACCCGGGUAGUC
rnacentral:rRNA from 1 species